UUUUGCUGGAUAAUUCAUAGUAUUCAUCACAUAGACUUUUUAGUCAAUGAUUUUUGCCGUCAGCAAAGUGUUCUACUUCUCAGGCUUUAAAAUGCAAGCCCCAAAUCUGUAACUAUCAGAUUCUCUAGGGCCUAGAGUAAAUACAUUGAUUGCAUUGGUUUUAAAAAGAAGACCAUAAAUUCUUUGACACAGCAAGUGUUUCUAUGUUAAAACGGUUGCUGUCUUAGAAUACUCCCUCUCAGCUUGUGUUUUCUUAGAACCUAGCCACCAUUCUGAGAGAAAGCAAAGCCUCAUGGAGAGGCUAUAUGUAGGUGUUCUGGUCAACAGUCCCAGCUGGGCCCAGCCUUCAAAUCAUUCCAGACAGGAAAGACGUCCUACAGGAAAAUUCACCAAAACAGAGAACACAGGAAGAUAGUCAUCCUGGACCUGCAAGAGUCAUACACAGCGCCAGAGGGGAGAAAACUGGAUAGAACCAUUUGACUGAAUGCCCAUGUCGAAGGUCAAGAGGAAAGAGCUGGGACACUGUGUGGAAGGGUCAGGAAUAAAUGAAAAGUGAAGACGGAGAGACUCCAGAGAGGAGGGACCAGAUAGACUGAUAGGAGACUGAAGGAGGAAAAUUAAUUUUACAGCAACUUCUAGACUUAAUGGAUAGGCCUUUCUAUCUAAAAAAUAUGUAAAUCAUAUAUACUACCAUAUGUCAGGCAUUUACCUGUUUAGGAGAGACCAGUUCACACAAAUGCCAAUACUCCACGCUUAGAAGGCAUACAGGAGUGAAAUAAAU
rnacentral:lncRNA from 1 species